CAGCAGCCGCGGGAAUACAGAGGGUGCGAGCGUUAAUCGGAUUUACUGGGCGUAAAGCGUGCGUAGGCGGCUUGUUAAGACGGAUGUGAAAUCCCUGAGCUUAACUUAGGAAUUGCAUUCGAUACUGGGAAGCUAGAGUAUGGGAGAGGAUGGUAGAAUUCCAGGUGUAGCGGUGAAAUGCGUAGAGAUCUGGAGGAAUACCGAUGGCGAAGGCAGCCAUCUGGCCUAAUACUGACGCUGAGGUACGAAAGCAUGGGGAGCAAACAGGAUUAGAUACCCCAGUAGUCCCUGUCUCUUAUAA
rnacentral:rRNA from 1 species